AGGACGAACGCUGGCGGCGUGCUUAACACAUGCAAGUCGAACGGUGAAGCCCUUCGGGGUGGAUCAGUGGCGAACGGGUGAGUAACACGUGGGUAACCUGCCUCUUGCUCUGGGAUAACUCCGGGAAACCGGGGCUAAUACCGGAUAUUCAUUUCUGGCCGCAUGGCUGGUUGUGGAAAGUUUUUCGGCGAGAGAUGGGCCCGCGGCCUAUCAGCUUGUUGGUGGGGUGAUGGCCUACCAAGGCGACGACGGGUA
rnacentral:rRNA from 1 species